UACAGAGGGUGCGAGCGUUGUUCGGAAUUACUGGGCGUAAAGCGCACGUAGGCGGCGAUGUAAGUCGGGUGUGAAAGCCCCGGGCUCAACCUGGGAAUUGCAUUCGAGACUGCAUUGCUGGAGUACGGAAGAGGAGGGCGGAAUUCCCGGUGUAGCGGUGAAAUGCGUAGAUAUCGGGAGGAACAUCAGUGGCGAAGGCGGCCCUCUGGUCCAGUACUGACACUCAAGUGCGAAAGCGUGGGGAGCAAACAGG
rnacentral:rRNA from 1 species